rnacentral:rRNA from 1 species
AGCGAACAGACGAGGAGCUUGCUCCUCUGACGUUAGCGGCGGACGGGUGAGUAACACGUGGAUAACCUACCUAUAAGAUUGGGACAACUUCGGGAAACCGGAGCUAAUACCGGAUAAUAUAUUGAACCGCAUGGUUCAAUAGUGAAAGACGGUUUUGCUGUCACUUAUAGAUGGAUCCGCGCCGCAUUAGCUAGUUGGUAAGGUAACAGCUUACCAAGGCAACGAUGCGUAGCCGACCUGAGAGGGUGAUCGGCCACACUGGAACUGAGACACGGUCCAGACUCCUACGGGAGGCAGCAGUAGGGAAUCUUCCGCAAUGGGCGAAAGCCUGACGGAGCAACGCCGCGUGAGUGAUGAAGGUCUUCGGAUCGUAAAACUCUGUUAUUAGGGAAGAACAAAUGUGUAAGUAACUAUGCACGUCUUGACGGUACCUAAUC